AUGCCUGAGUCUGGUGUUUUUUCACAUGAGAUGCAAGAAAUCUGCUCCUCACGAGACCCAGGAACAGCCCCUCCUGUGAGACCCUCAUCAGCAAGUCCUGCUGCCCACAGCACGCCCAGGCAUGGGAGCAUCGCAGACCUGAUGGGCACUGUCCCCAAGGGCACCACGAUGGGCACUGUCCCCAAGGGCACCACGAUGGGCACUGUCCCCAAGGGCAGCAGCACCCUGCUGCCCACUGCCACCCCGGGCACCGCUGCAACCUCCCCAGGUGAAACCUUCCAGGAGAGCUCCUCGGGGGAAUCACGGCUGCUCCCAGUUGUGUUACCAGCUCUGCUUUUGCUGAUUUGCGUCGCCAUCACCAUCCUCACCCUGGCCAAAAUCAAGCUUCUAAAGAAGCCAGGAGAAGCAGGAAGCACCACGGGGAGCCUGGAGCCAGCUUCGGCCCGUGCUGGGCUGAGUCCUGGAAGGGAGGAAAGGAUGGAGGAGAACCCGAGCCCAGGAGAAGUGCAGGAGUUCAGGAUGGGCUCUGGCAAGUGUAGGACAAUCUCUGCUAUCCUUGGGAAUAUCAGGAUGACCAGCUUCUGUCUGCCCUAUGGGGAAAAGUUACUUUUCGAGGUGCCUGAUGAAGACUGGAGCCAGAACCUUCUGUGAAAGCCCCAUGUACCCGAGCUGGGAAUUUUCCCUAUGGAAAGCCAGGGCAGAGCUAUAAAAUGCCAAGCCCCCAACAGCUCCCAUUGCUCUGCUCAGAACCCAAAUCCCCUUAACUGAGAGCUGAACCCCCAGACUGCCCAAAUUGCUCCGUGUUUUGCACAAGAGAGAAUAAAAUUAUGCACCUGAACCUGGCUAUUUGGGGGUUAUU
ensembl:lncRNA